rnacentral:rRNA from 1 species
UUCCUACGGGGGGCAGCAGUGGGGAAUAUUGCACAAUGGGGGAAACCCUGAUGCAGCGACGCCGCGUGAGUGAGGAAGUAUUUCGGUAUGUAAAGCUCUAUCAGCAGGGAAGAAAAUGACGGUACCUGACUAAGAAGCCCCGGCUAACUACGUGCCAGCAGCCGCGGUAAUACGUAGGGGGCAAGCGUUAUCCGGAUUUACUGGGUGUAAAGGGAGCGUAGACGGCUAAUCAAGUCAGCGGUAAAAUCGUGGAGCUCAACUCCAUCCAGCCGUUGAAACUGAUGAUCUUGAGUGGGCGAGAAGUA